rnacentral:tRNA from 1 species
ACUAACUUGGCAGAGAUAUGCAAAUAACUUAGACCUAUUUUACGUGAUACAAUCACAGUUUAUU